rnacentral:rRNA from 1 species
GAUGAACGCUGGCGGCGUGCCUAAUACAUGCAAGUCGAGCGAACAGACGAGGAGCUUGCUCCUCUGACGUUAGCGGCGGACGGGUGAGUAACACGUGGAUAACCUACCUAUAAGACUGGGAUAACUUCGGGAAACCGGAGCUAAUACCGGAUAACAUGUUGAACCGCAUGGUUCAACAGUGAAAGACGGUCUUGCUGUCACUUAUAGAUGGAUCCGCGCCGCAUUAGCUAGUUGGUAAGGUAACGGCUUACCAAGGCAACGAUGCGUAGCCGACCUGAGAGGGUGAUCGGCCACACUGGAACUGAGACACGGUCCAGACUCCUACGGGAGGCAGCAGUAGGGAAUCUUCCGCAAUGGGCGAAAGCCUGACGGAGCAACGCCGCGUGAGUGAAGAAGGUCUUCGGAUCGUAAAACUCUGUUAUUAGGGAAGAACAAAUGUGUAAGUAACUAUGCACGUCUUGACGGUACCUAAUCAGAAAGCCACGGCUAACUACGUG